UGAGAAGUUCGUACAUAAGGCACCUACAUACAAAAAUUGAUUUGCAAAAGUAUCCUUACCUCAAAAAUUAUAUACCUAGUCGCACAUUUGAAUACACACAGCCAGAAAAAUGCUUUUCUUCUGGAUAUAUAGUCUGCUUGUAAUCUCCACCCUUAGCACGGUGCACAGUCAAGGGAACACAAUUCCAGGUAUAGUUUGCGUCGGCCCUAAACAAGGCGACCGUUGUCGAGAAGAAUGCACCAAAGCGCACCCAGGAACGAUGGGCGUUUGUCAAAACGGGGUCUGCAUCUGCUCCAGUGAUCCACUCGAUAUCAAAUGCGGCGGAGAUGGCAGCCUGAUAGGGAUCCGAUGCCCGGACGUGUCUGCAUGUCGACGACGCUGUUGUCGAGAAGGAAAGACGGGAGGACGAUGCAAGUGGUGGGUUAAAUGUGUGUGCAAUUAAAAAACACAAAAUUACAAAUGCAUUAAAGAACAUUACAAUGAAAAUUAAUUUAAAAUUAAAGAAGAUUGAACAAGACUAAUCUAAAAUCUUGAAUAAGAAUUAUGUAGGCAUUUAAUUAAAUAAAUUAUUAUUCGCAUUUAUUUAAAAUGCGGGAGUUUUUCUUUAUCGGUAA